rnacentral:rRNA from 1 species
GACGAACCGAGCGAACGUUGUUCGGAAUCACUGGGCUUAAAGGGCGCGUAGGCGGGUGACCAAGUCCGGGGUGAAAUCUUUCGGCUUAACCGGAAAAGUGCCUUGGAUACUGGUCGCCUGGAGGGAGGUAGGGGCAUGUGGAACUUCCGGUGGAGCGGUGAAAUGCGUUGAUAUCGGAAGGAACGCCGGUGGCGAAAGCGACGUGCUGGCCCUCUUCUGACGCUGAGGCGCGAAAGCCAGGGGAGCGAACGGG